rnacentral:rRNA from 1 species
GACGAACGCUGGCGGCGUGCCUAAUACAUGCAAGUAGGACGCAGUUGCGAACGGGUGAGUAACGCGUAGGUAACUGCCUAUUAGAGGGGGAUAACUAUUGGAAACAAUAGCUAAUACCGCCUACUAGUAGAUGGACCUGCGUUGUAUUAGCUAGUAGGUAGGGUAAUGGCAUACCUAGGCAACGAUACAUAGCCGACCGGAGAUGGGGAUCGGCCACACUGGGACUGAGACACGGCCCAGACUCCUACGGGAGGCAGCAGUAGGGAAGCUUCGGAAAUGGGGGGAACCCUGAACGAGCAACGCCGCGGGAGUGAAGAAGGUUUUCUGAUCGUAAAGCUCUGUUGUUAAGGAAGCGGUACUUAACCAGAAAGGGACGGCUAACUACGUGCCAGCAGCCGCGGUAAUUC